rnacentral:ncRNA from 1 species
UCCUAAGGCGAGCUCAGGGAGGCCAGAAGCCUCCCGUGGAGCAGAAGGGCAAAAGCUCGCUUGAUCUUAAUUUUCCGUAAGACUACAGACUGUGAAAGCGGGG